ACGAACGCUGGCGGCAGGCCUAAAACAUGCAAGUCGAACGAUGUAGCAAUACAUAGUGGCGCACGGGUGAGUAACGCGUGGGAACGUACCUCUAGGUGAGGAACAACGUCGGGGAAACUGACGCUAAUACCUCAUAAUAUCUCCGGAUCAAAGAUUUAUCGCCUAGAGAUCGGCCCGCGUUAGAUUAGCUAGUUGGUGGGGUAAAAGCUUACCAAGGCGACGAUCUAUAGCUGGUCUGGAGAGGAUGAUCAGCCACACUGGGACUGAGAACGGCCCAGACUCCUACGGGAGGCAGCAGUUAGGAAUAUUGGACAAUGGGGGCAACCCUGAUCCAGCCAUGCCGGGUGUGUGACGGAGGCCUUAGGGUUGUAAAGCACUUUCGUCUGCGAAGAUAAUGACAGUAACAGAAGAAGAAGCUCCGGCUAAAAUUCGUGCCAGCAGGGGCGGGAAUACGAAUGGGAGGGAGCGUUGUUCGGAAUCACUGGGGGUAAAGCGUGCGCAGGCGGUGGGGAAGUCAGGGUGAAAUCCCCAGGGGUUAAACCCUGCAAUUGCUUUUUGAUACUUCACGACUAGAAGUACCGGGAGGGGGUGGGGGGAAUUUCGAGUUGUAGCAGUGAAAUGCGUAGAUAUUCGAAGAAACACCCGACGGCGUAAGCAGCCAACCUGGACCAGUAACUGACGGUUAAUGCACGAAAAGCGUGGGGGAUCAAAACAGGAUUAGAUUCCCCUGGUAGUCCCCGCCGUAACCGAUGUUUGCUAGUUGUCCGGGUUCUUAGAACUCGGUGCCGCAGCUAACGCUUUAAGCACACCGCCUGGGGGAGGUACGGUCGCAAGAUUAAAACUCAAAGGAAUUGACGGGGACCCGCACAACCGGUGGAGCAUGUUCUUUAAUUCGAAGCAACGCGAAGAACCUUACCCACACUUGACAUCCUCCUUGGGACUUUCAGAGAUGAUUGUCUUCGGUUCGGCCGGGGGAGAGACAGGUGCUGCAUGGCUGUCGUCAGCUCGUGUCGUGAGAUGUUGGGUUAAGUCCCGCAACGAGCGCAACCCUUAUCGUAUGUUGCUACCAUUCAGUUGGGCACUCAUGCGAGACUGCCGGUGAUAAGCCGGAGGAAGGCGGGGACGACGUCAAGUCAUCAUGGCCCUUACGUGUGGGGCUAGAAACGUGCUACAAUGGUGGUGACAGUGGGCAGCGAGGUCGUGAGGCCAAGCUAAUCCCAAAAAGCCAUCUCAGUUCAGAUUGCAGUCUGCAACUCGACUGCAUGAAGUUGGAAUCGCUAGUAAUCGCAAAUCAGCAUGUUGCGGUGAAUACGUUCCCGGGUCUG
rnacentral:rRNA from 1 species